rnacentral:rRNA from 1 species
GACCUACGGGAGGCAGCAGUGGGGAAUAUUGCACAAUGGGGGAAACCCUGAUGCAGCGACGCCGCGUGAAGGAUGAAGUAUUUCGGUAUGUAAACCUCUAUCAGCAGGGAAGAAAAUGACGGUACCUGACUAAGAAGCCCCGGCUAACUACGUGCCAGCAGCCGCGGUAAUACGUAGGGGGCAAGCGUUAUCCGGAUUUACUGGGUGUAAAGGGAGCGUAGACGGCAGCGCAAGUCUGGAGUGAAAUGCCGGGGCCCAACCCCGGAACUGCUCUGGCAACUGUGAAGCUGGAGUGCAGGAGAGGU